CGCGGCCUAUCAGCUUGUUGGUGGGGUAAUGGCCUACCAAGGCGACGACGGGUAGCCGGCCUGAGAGGGUGACCGGCCACACUGGGACUGAGACACGGCCCAGACUCCUACGGGAGGCAGCAGUGGGGAAUAUUGCGCAAUGGGCGAAAGCCUGACGCAGCGACGCUGCGUGAGGGAUGACGGCCUUCGGGUUGUAAACCUCUUUCAGUAGGGACGAAGCGAAAGUGACGGUACCUACAGAAGAAGCACCGGCCAACUACGUGCCAGCAGCCGCGGUAAUACGUAGGGUGCAAGCGUUGUCCGGAAUUAUUGGGCGUAAAGAGCUCGUAGGCGGUCUGUCGCGUCGGCUGUGAAAACCCGAGGCUCAACCUCGGGCCUGCAGUCGAUACGGGCAAACUAGAGUACUGCAGGGGAGACUGGAAUUCCUGGUGUAGCGGUGAAGUGCGCAGAUAUCAGGAGGAACACCGGUGGCGAAGGCGGGUCUCUGGGCAGUAACUGACGCUGAGGAGCGAAAGCGUGGGGAGCGAACAGGAUUAGAUACCCUGGUAGUCCACGCCGUAAACGUUGGGCGCUAGGUGUGGGGGCCAUUCCACGGUCUCCGUGCCGCAGCUAACGCAUUAAGCGCCCCGCCUGGGGAGUACGG
rnacentral:rRNA from 1 species